rnacentral:rRNA from 1 species
AUUGAACGCUGGCGGCAGGCCUAACACAUGCAAGUCGAACGGUAACAGGAAGCAGCUUGCUGCUUUGCUGACGAGUGGCGGACGGGUGAGUAAUGUCUGGGAAACUGCCUGAUGGAGGGGGAUAACUACUGGAAACGGUAGCUAAUACCGCAUAACGUCGCAAGACCAAAGAGGGGACCUUCGGGCCUCUUGCCAUCGGAUGUGCCCAGAUGGGAUUAGCUAGUAGGUGGGGUAAAGGCUCACCUAGGCGACGAUCCCUAGCUGGUCUGAGAGGAUGACCAGCCACACUGGAACUGAGACACGGUCCAGACUCCUACGGGAGGCAGCAGUGGGGAAUAUUGCACAAUGGGCGCAAGCCUGAUGCAGCCAUGCCGCGUGUAUGAAGAAGGCCUUCGGGUUGUAAAGUACUUUCAGCGGGGAGGAAGGGAGUAAAGUUAAUACCUUUGCUCAUUGACGUUACCCGCAGAAGAAGCACCGGCUAACUCCGU